rnacentral:rRNA from 1 species
GAUGAACGCUGGCGGCGUGCCUAAUACAUGCAAGUCGAGCGAACGGACGAGAAGCUUGCUUCUCUGAUGUUAGCGGCGGACGGGUGAGUAACACGUGGAUAACCUACCUAUAAGACUGGGAUAACUUCGGGAAACCGGAGCUAAUACCGGAUAAUAUUUUGAACCGCAUGGUUCAAAAGUGAAAGACGGUCUUGCUGUCACUUAUAGAUGGAUCCGCGCUGCAUUAGCUAGUUGGUAAGGUAACGGCUUACCAAGGCAACGAUGCAUAGCCGACCUGAGAGGGUGAUCGGCCACACUGGAACUGAGACCCGGUCCAGACUCCUACGGGAGGCAGCAGUAGAGAAUCUUCCGCAAUGGGCGAAAGCCUGACGGAGCAACGCCGCGUGAGUGAUGAAGGUCUUCGGAUCGUAAAACUCUGUUAUUAGGGAAGAACAUAUGUGUAAGUAACUGUGCACAUCUUGACGGUACCUAAUCAGAAAGCCACGGCUAACUACGUG